GAUGUAACGACUGUCAUGUAUUGUAAUUCUGUAUGUACUAACUAUGGUAUAUCAGUCUGCUCAAGUACGGAGCAUACUCAUAGUACGGCUGACUGUUAAAAACUCAGGUGAAUUCGUUCUUUCGGGGAGAUCGUAUUAAUACAAAACACUACUAUGUAGAACGGUCUGGAUCCCGCAACAGAGAUCGAUCGUGGCCAGAGAGUCUAGCGGGCAAAUAGAGAUCACUCUGAGCCACACACUCAACACUGUUCCUUGAGAUGUAGGUACGGCCAUUAUUAUUUAACAAGCUGAGACCCCAGGGGAUGAGUAUGCUUACUAGGCCAGAGAGCUCAAACAACAGAAAGAAGUAGGUUGAAGUA
rnacentral:lncRNA from 1 species